AUUGAACGCUGGCGGCAGGCCUAACACAUGCAAGUCGAGCGGAUGAAGGGAGCUUGCUCCUGGAUUCAGCGGCGGACGGGUGAGUAAUGCCUAGGAAUCUGCCUGGUAGUGGGGGAUAACGUCCGGAAACGGGCGCUAAUACCGCAUACGUCCUGAGGGAGAAAGUGGGGGAUCUUCGGACCUCACGCUAUCAGAUGAGCCUAGGUCGGAUUAGCUAGUUGGUGGGGUAAAGGCCUACCAAGGCGACGAUCCGUAGCUGGUCUGAGAGGAUGAUCAGCCACACUGGAACUGAGACACGGUCCAGACUCCUACGGGAGGCAGCAGUGGGGAAUAUUGGACAAUGGGCGAAAGCCUGAUCCAGCCAUGCCGCGUGUGUGAAGAAGGUCUUCGGAUUGUAAAGCACUUUAAGUUGGGAGGAAGGGCAGUAAGUUAAUACCUUGCUGUUUUGACGGUACCAACAGAAUAAGCACCGGCUAACUUCGUG
rnacentral:rRNA from 1 species